rnacentral:lncRNA from 1 species
UUUUCCUUUCAUUUAAAUUUAUCUCUUUUUUUUCUGGUAUUUUUUUCCUUUCGUUUUAUUUAUCUUUUUUGUUUUUCUUUUCUGAUUCUUUUUUUUCUUUUUUUCCUGGUUCUUUUUGCUUGCUGUGAAUACGUGUUUGGUUCCCCGUUUGUGCUGGCCCGUUUAGGUAUUGCCACAUUUUACAUUGACUUGAUUUUCCAUUAACACACCACCAUGUGCAUGCCCAGUUUUCAGGCGGUACCGUUUUGAUGGUGCGUCCUUGAUGCUCACGGUGCAUCCCGAUGUUUCUCAUUAUACUGCAUGUCGUACAAUCUAGUCGUUAUUAGUGAUGGUCCGUGAUGAUUCUGGUUGUUUGUGUCCGCAUCGUCGGGGUCAUCCGCUAGGACUAAUAUGCAAACAAAUACCUGAUGCUUGGUAGAAGAAUGGGACGUAAAACCUGUGAUAAUGUAAAGGAGUUUCUUUCCUCGUUGGCAGAGAAAGCGAGCGAAUACAAUUCUCUAAGCGGUAGUAGAGCAGGCCGGUUGUACGCUGCCUUAAUAGUUUAUAUGGCGCGCCCUGCUAUGUCCUCCGAACUUUUUUUAUUUUUGAACGAAAAAAUUAAAACGGGCCGGCCCAUAAGAUGAAUUUCGGUUCAGGUUUCAAUAAGACCGGAAUUGUAUAAUUUAUGAUGCAAUCGGUCGGAAUUUUGAUUUAAGGGUUCAUUUUUUUCAACCUCUAUAAAUUGAAGGUUUAAAAUAGACUUUUUUCUUAAAAUAACCUCCGCCGCUGCCGCUGCCGCUGCCGCUGCCGCAUUCCAUUCCACGACCUCGACCGCGACCGCCUCUCCAGAAAAACUCUGCGCGACCGCGACCACCUCUCCGCGAUCCAUUCCACCGCCUCCGUCC